GGGUAAAAGCUUCCAAAGCGGCUAACUGUUAAUUAGCAGAUCACGACUAAACACACUCGUUUACCCC
rnacentral:tRNA from 1 species